AAAGGCCCUAAAAACUUGAUCUUCUGUCCAGUCUCCAUUUUGGUAUUUGGGAUGAUGCUUUGCGUUAUACACCCCCCGAGUUUUUCUGGGUCUCAAGGAAGCACCUUACUGUGAGGGAUUCAUGGUUCCUGGUCCUUAAACAGUCCUGAUUUUCCAGAGCAGGACCUGCUCCCGUUGCACAUCUGAGCAGCAGCAAUCAGCCCAAGACCUGACCUCGCCUACUGAUGACAUCUUCGCUGUUUUAACACAACUGCAGAACAAGUUAAUAACUUAAACUUGCACAGCAUUUAGCACCCUUGGAUUUCAGGACCCUGCCAGCCCUCAUGUAAGCCUUCAAGCUUCCCUCAGAGGAAGACAGUGGAAUAAAAAGUGGGAAAAGCAACUCUGGACUUGCAGCACUGCAACAGCACCACCAAGAGCAGCAUGUCGGGGCUGGCAAAGGGUCACUUCUCCCUCAGGGAUCACUUGUGCCUAGUGCUAAGAGCAACAAGGCUGCCCAUGCCCAUGGUGACAUUCCAGGGGCACACUGUAUCCUGGCCCCUGGGCACAUGUUCAGGGCCAAGACUGUCACUCCCUAGCCUGGCUGCUGGAUCUGCAGUCAUGAAGGCCCUCAAAAUAUUUUCCAGGCUUUAAAGUAUCAUGGGAUCAGAGCAUGGAAGAGUCACAGAGGGCUGGGCUGAGUUACAGCAGGGCUCUUGGCUCAGAGGGCACUGGGUGCUCUGCUGAGGGUGCUCUGGGUUGGGGAGAUGAAGAUGGGUGGCCCUGUGAGGCAUCAUCAGUGCACGUUGCACUUCCAGUCUUCUUGUCGUUGCACAUGCAGAAGUGUGAACUGAAACGGUCAGAGAAAGCUUCUGAGAAACACGGAGUCAAACUGUUCCAUCUUAACUACUCCACUCCUGUCUACAGAGCAUUUGCUGUGGCAGCUGUUAAUGUCAUGUGUGCUCACUUUUGCGAAUCCUUCAGACAACACCAGCUGGGCUUGGAAAAAGAGAAAAAUAAAAUGUUUUGGUUCACCUCAAAAUGGUUUCAGUGCUAGUUUAUUGUAGAAGUCUAGAGUGGCACAAAAAGAGACUGUUCCAGCUUUUUUUUCAUCCAGAAGAGCAAAGUUCUUCCAGAAACUCAUUAACAAGUGACCAGAAAGACCUUACAGCUGUGUGAGAUCAGCAGUCAAAAAUGUUUUCUGCAAACAAUGACCUGUCCUUAAGGGGAGAUGUUUAGCUGGCAAGAAUAUAAAAUAUGGUGAGGUUACAUAGACACAAACUAUAUUUAAAUUAUACAGUUAUAUACUGUAGCUUAUAUAUAUAAUUCCUGUAUAUCUAUAUACAAGUGCACAAUGCAUACAUGCACAGCACUGUGCAGUAUGCCUCUAUACUAUGUUAUGCGUUUAUAAAGAUCUGACACCAAUGAUGACAUCAUUUGUCUCCACUGCACACUGCAAAAAUCUACACAAACACACAGCGUGCAAAGGGUGUAGUAGCUCCUUGCCUUGGGUUCAGUGCAGGCAUUUCCAGUAUACUGUAAUAUGCAUCAAGUAACCAUUGCAGUGAGACUCAUGAAUUGAGGCUAGGGAAGGAUCAUCUGAUAUGGUAUCUGUUACGAUCUCCUGUACCUCAAUAAAAGCCACUGAAACUGUCCAAUCCUCCGUUGUCUCUAAGUAUGGUUUUCUCCUACACCUACAAGCACUUCUAGCUGAGAACUCACCAUCUUUAGGCUAAGUUGUUCCAGUAUUGAAUCAUUUUCAUUUUAAAAUACGUUCUUUGUUUCUAGUCUGAAUUUCCCCCAUCAUUAAAUGCUGGUUUACUUUCUUUUACUAGAUUAAAGACUUUUCUAUUAAAAAUAAGUCCAGAUGUAAAUAUCUGAAGGUGCCUUCUAAAUUCUGUUUGGUUAAGUAAUGAGACAGAGCUUAGGACUCUUGCUACAAAAUGAGUCUCCAGUUGUCAGGUAUUCUGGUCUUGUUGCUGAACUUUUCCAUUUUUUUCCAGUGUUCCUUUUGAAGUGGGACAGAGCACCACUAAUAAUCUCACUAAUGCCAUAGGCUGAGAUAUUUGCAUUUCUUCCCCUAGUAUCAUGUUUAAAAACACUAAUAGCAAAUAUUUCUGCUGCUCUUUACAAAUCUCCAUUCUCUGUAACGUUCAAUAACAAAAUCACCAACACCAUGUUGCUAUACAAAACUCGGCAAUUAAAGUCUGUAAUGUGAUUAUAGAUUACACUAAAGCCUUUUAAACAUGACCUGGCUUCCUGUGUCACACAGCAGCAUAUGUUUGAGAAUCACUUUCUAUGCAUUCAAUAAAUACAGAAAAACAGUUAAAUAUAAACCUUAUUGGAUGCCAGACACCCUGGUCCAUAGUAACACAUCUACCACUUCCUUAUUUCUGUUGGCUGCUGGUUUAAGCUAGAGAUAAACCCUUCCUAUGCUUUUAAAAGACAAUACUGCAUUGUAAGAACAGAUUCUGAAUCAGAGCAAGGAUGGAGGAAUAACACCAUGUGAACUGUCUCCUCUCCUUUCAUUUUGCUUUGCCCCUUUUUUGAUUAUAUGAAGUAAUUAAAGAUACAUUCAGGAUUUGCUGAACAGUUCUCUGUAUAACUUAUGCGUUAUGUAAUGAUA